rnacentral:rRNA from 1 species
GAUAAGUAUGUGAAUUGCAGAAUUCAGUGAAUCAUCGAAUCUUUGAACGCACCUUGCGCCCCUUGGUAUUCCGAGGGGCACGCCUGUUUGAGUGUCGUGAAAUUCUCA